GACGAACGCUGGCGGCGUGCUUAACACAUGCAAGUCGAGCGAUGAAGUUCCUUCGGGAAUGGAUUAGCGGCGGACGGGUGAGUAACACGUGGGUAACCUGCCUCAUAGAGGGGAAUAGCCUUCCGAAAGGAAGAUUAACACCGCAUAAGAUUGUAGUAUCGCAUGAUACAGCAAUUAAAGGAGUAAUUCGCUAUGAGAUGGACCCGCGUCGCAUUAGCUAGUUGGUGAGGUAACGGCUCACCAAGGCGACGAUGCGUAGCCGACCUGAGAGGGUGAUCGGCCACAUUGGGACUGAGACACGGCCCAGACUCCUACGGGAGGCAGCAGUGGGGAAUAUUGCACAAUGGGGGAAACCCUGAUGCAGCAACGCCGCGUGAGUGAUGACGGUCUUCGGAUUGUAAAACUCUGUCUUCAGGGACGAUAAUGACGGUACCUGAGGAGGAAGCCACGGCUAACUACGUGCCAGCCGCCGCGGUAA
rnacentral:rRNA from 1 species